rnacentral:rRNA from 1 species
GACGAACGCUGGCGGCGUGCUUAACACAUGCCAGUCGAACGGUAAGGCCCCUUCGGGGGUACACGAGUGGCGAACGGGUGAGUAACACGUGAGCAACCUGCCCUUGACUUUGGGAUACCAGCUGGAAACAGCUGCUAAUACCGGAUAUGACCUCUUCUCUCAUGGGUUGAGGUGGAAAGCUCCGGCGGUCAGGGAUGGGCUCGCGGCCUAUCAGCUUGUUGGUGAGGUAAUGGCUCACCAAGGCUUCGACGGGUAGCCGGCCUGAGAGGGCGACCGGCCACACUGGGACUGAGAUACGGCCCAGACUCCUACGGGAGGCAGCAGUGGGGAAUAUUGCACAAUGGGCGCAAGCCUGAUGCAGCAACGCCGCGUGCGGGAUGACGGCCUUCGGGUUGUAAACCGCUUUCAGUAGGGACGAAGCUAACGUGACGGUACCUACAGAAGAAGGACCGGCUAACUACGUG